rnacentral:rRNA from 1 species
CGAACGGUAACAGGCUUUUCGGAGUGCUGACGAGUGGCGGACGGGUGAGUAAUGCGUAGGAACUUGCCUGCUAGAGAGGGAUAACUUAGGGAAACUUAAGCUAAUACCUCGUAAUAUCUAAGGAUUAAAGCAUGGGACCUUCGGGCCAUGCGCUAGCAGAUAGGCCUGCGUUGGAUUAGCUAGUUGGUAGGGUAAAGGCCUACCAAGGCUAUGAUCCAUAGCUGUUCUGAGAGGAUGAUCAGCCACACUGGGACUGAGACACGGCCCAGACUCC